GAUGAACGCUAGCUACAGGCUUAACACAUGCAAGUCGAGGGGAAACGACAUCGAAAGCUUGCUUUUGGUGGGCGUCGACCGGCGCACGGGUGAGUAACGCGUAUCCAACCUUCCCGUUGCUAGGGGAUAACCUUGCGAAAGUAAGACUAAUAUCCUAUGAGGUUCUUCGCAGGCAUCUAAAGAGAACGAAAGAUUUAUCGGCAACGGAUGGGGAUGCGUCUGAUUAGGUUGUUGGCGGGGUAACGGCCCACCAAGCCUACGAUCAGUAGGGGUUCUGAGAGGAAGGUCCCCCACAUUGGAACUGAGACACGGUCCAAACUCCUACGGGAGGCAGCAGUGAGGAAUAUUGGUCAAUGGACGGAAGUCUGAACCAGCCAAGUAGCGUGCAGGAUGACAGCCCUAUGGGUUGUAAACUGCUUUUAUGUGGGAAUAAAGUGAGGGACGUGUCCCUUUUUGUAGGUACCACAUGAAUAAGGACCGGCUAAUUCCGUGCCAGCAGCCGC
rnacentral:rRNA from 1 species